rnacentral:rRNA from 1 species
ACAAGCGGUGGAGCACGUGGUUUAAUUCGAUGCUACACGAAGAACCUUACCAGGGUUUGACAUACAAGUAGUAGGGAAAGGAAACUGGACCGACCCUUCGGGAGCUUGUACAGGUGCUGCAUGGCUGUCGUCAGCUCGUGUCGUGAGAUGUUCGGUUAAGUCCCGCAACGAGCGCAACCCUUGUCAUUAGUUGCCUACAUUCAGUUGGGCACUCUAAUGAGACUGCCGGUGACAAAACCGGAGGAAGGUGGGGAUGACGUCAAGUCCUCAUGGCCCUUAUAGGUGGGGCUACACACGUCAUACAAUGGAUGGUACAAAGGGUCGCCAACCCGCGAGGGGGAGCCAAUCCCAUAAAGCCAUUCGUAGUCCGGAUCGCAGUCUGCAACUCGACUGCGUGAAGUCGGAAUCGCUAGUAAUCGUGGAUCAGAAUGUCACGGUGAAUACGUUCCCGGGUCUU